rnacentral:rRNA from 1 species
GACGAACGCUGGCGGCGUGCUUAACACAUGCAAGUCGAACGGAAAGGCCCUGCUUUUGUGGGGUGCUCGAGUGGCGAACGGGUGAGUAACACGUGAGUAACCUGCCCUUGACUUUGGGAUAACUUCAGGAAACUGGGGCUAAUACCGGAUAGGAGCUCCUGCUGCAUGGUGGGGGUUGGAAAGUUUCGGCGGUUGGGGAUGGACUCGCGGCUUAUCAGCUUGUUGGUGGGGUAGUGGCUUACCAAGGCUUUGACGGGUAGCCGGCCUGAGAGGGUGACCGGCCACAUUGGGACUGAGAUAAGGCCCAGACUCCUACGGGAGGCAGCAGUGGGGAAUAUUGCACAAUGGGCGGAAGCAUGAUGCAGCAACGCCGCGUGCGGGAUGACGGACUUCGGGUUGUAAACCGCUUUCGCCUGUGACGAAGCGUGAGUGACGGUAAUGGGUAAAGAAGCACCGGCUAACUACGUG